rnacentral:rRNA from 1 species
AUUGAACGCUGGCGGCAUGCCUUACACAUGCAAGUCGAACGGCAGCAUGGAGAGCUUGCUCUCUGAUGGCGAGUGGCGAACGGGUGAGUAAAGCAUCGGAACGUACCGUGUAGUGGGGGAUAACGUAGCGAAAGUUACGCUAAUACCGCAUACGCACUGAGGUGGAAAGCAGGGGAUCGCGAGACCUUGCGCUAUACGAGCGGCCGAUGUCAGAUUAGCUAGUUGGUAGGGUAAAGGCCUACCAAGGCGACGAUCUGUAGCGGGUCUGAGAGGAUGAUCCGCCGCACGGGGAGUGAGACACGGCCCAGACUCCUACGGGAGGCAGCAGUGGGGAAUUGUGGACGAUGGGGGGAACCCUGAUCCAGCCAUGCCGCGUGAGUGAAGAAGGCCUUCGGGUUGUAAAGCACUUUCGGCCGGGAAGAAAUCGCACAAGCUAAUACUCUGUGUGGAUGACGGUACCGGCAUAAGAAGCACCGGCUAACUACGUGCCAGCCGCCGCAGUAA